GCCCGGGCGGCCCCAGCGACAAAAAUACCCGGGCGGCUCUGCGGGCCGUUCCGCCGUCCUGAGGGUUAGCGGCGAGUCAGAGAGGGAGAAGGAAAGUAGCCUUCGCUUUUUUGUUCUAGCUUAAAAGAACAGGGAUACGUGCAAGACCGAUUCGGAGAGAACUGUCGCAGGGAAGGAGGAAGCUGGCGUUCAGAUUUUGCCGCUGCGCAGAUCCCAGCAGUACAGACUAACAUGUCACUGCAGACUGUAAAUGACAGAAGAAGGCGCUCACCCGGCAUGGCCAGCUGACUGCAGCCCUCUGACCACAUCUCCAUGGAAAUGGAGGUCAAGCAAUCAACAUUAUUAUACAAGAGGUGAAAGUUCGUUUUUCUGGCAAAAAUAAGGUUCUUCUGUAAACUAACCAGUAAAAACAGAAGAGCUGAAGUGUAUGCAAGAUGUGCCUUUCAUGGGAUCUGGUAUGCAGCCUCUGUCUCCUUGCAAACAAGGAAGAUCGCUCCAUUGGCAGCCCAAAUGGCCACUUGCACUUCCCAGCUGCUGACUGAGCACCAAAGAGCCCUCUGGCCAGAGGCAGAUGAAGACUCUGAGCCAAAAAUAUUCUGUACUUUGUCAUACCUCAGAAUAGGAACAAAAAGGCUGUUACUGUGAUUUCCAGCAAGACAAAAUGUCUAACGAGCCAUGCCGGAAGAAUCAGCAGUCAUUUAAAAACAACAGUAUGGCGUGUAUGCAGCCUUCCUAAGCCUUCUUUAAAAGCACAAACAAAACAAAGGGAAAGAGCAAAGACGGAGGAAAAAUGGACUAUAAGACAAUCCAAGUGGAGCAGCAACUAUGAGAUGUUAUUAAAAAAAACAAAACAAAACACAGAUCCUAAAAUUUUAUAGCCCUGUUUCAAUAAAUCCUGAAGAACUGUGCUGAAAAUUGCACUGAACAACUUCCCGUUUUUUUCCCCCACUUUCAUGUAAGCAUCUAAUGAUACAAUAAACAAAGGGGAUGAGGGGAAAAAAAAAACAACAAAGCUUUUAUGAAGUUUUCAUUAAGCACUAUUAUUAAAAUCCUGACACGGACUGUAAAUUAAACGAGGGAAAGAAAGAAUCUGGAGUUUUUCUUCUGUCUCCACUGCUGUAUUCUAUGAAAAGCUGGUAAGGCUUUUAGUUCAUUAUAAAAGUCAAAAUGGAAAGGUAACAUUUGGAAUUAAGCUUUCUUCCAUAUCAUAAUGAAUUAGUUCACUAAGGCUAACAUCUGCACUUAACCCAUACACCAUUUACCUAUAUAAUCUUACGAAGUUAUUGUGAUUUUACAAGUAAAUCUAUGCUUGCAGUUCCUUUAUUCCCAUAUUUCCUGAAAACAAGCGCUGGUCACACUCUCGUUUGCAGUUAAAUAACAGUAAGAUUGUUUUAAACAUCUUUCAUUACCUUUAGCACAACGCGCGUUGGCAAGAUUUGUCAUCUAUGAUACUAUAAAUGUAAAUGCGAGCACCCGCUUUCUAGUGCUCUGACAUGAAACAAGCUUUGUUCUCCUAACUAGGUCCACAACUGUGCAUUCAGCAAACCGUACUAAAGCUUACGGAUGCAUGAAGUAUUACUACAUGCAAACAUAUCAACUUAUACUCUCAUGUUUGCUUAUCUUUAUACUACUUCCCAAAAUGAUGGCUUUAAAAUAACAUGGUGGAAUACGCGCUAUGAAGUGAAUUUCUCUGUCGAGGGGGGAAAAAAGAAGCAUGUUCAUUUAUAAAUUCAUUCCACUUAACUAAGACGUGAAAUAAAUGAUCCAGAAUGACAUAUUUUCCUAUACUAAUGCAGUUCUUCAAAUGUGCCUCAAAAUUCAGGCCCUAAUUCUAAUUUAGCACAGUAGGUCUCGUUUCAUAGGCUGAGAUGAUUAAAAGGGUCAGCUGCAAUUGUUAGCUUGGAAGGAAAGAGAUCAAAAGUCUAAACACUGGGGCGCUGCAAGUAGCCUUUUCCUGAUGUUGCCAGCUUUUCUAUCUUGAUUUCAACCCAGUACGAUGCUUCACCCCCUGAAAUUACAUCCCCAAUUAAAACAAGACCCUGUUUUAUCAAGCCCUGUGAGACUGGAACCGUAUUGGCAUUAUGGAGGAAAUGGCACAUAUUAAUUUGCACGGCGUUCAGGAAAACCAAUGCGGUGAGUUAUGGUGUUAACAAAGACAAAUGAAGAGGAAGGCCUUUGCUUGGUGUUUUUAUCUGCCUAUAUUUGUUCAAGGUAAACUGAUAGCGGUAACCUAUUUACAUGUAACAAACACACAUCAGAAGCACUUUUCACAUGCACAGAUUCUACAAAAGCCAUCAUGAUUUGUCUUCUUCAAGGGAAGACUUCACAGUGAAUCUAACACACAGCUCUAGCCAGGGAAGGAAGGUUGCAGAGAAUUAAGCAUUACAGAAGAUGUUUUCUUGAAAUCUAACAUCUGAGAGAGAUUUUUGAAACUGUUUCAAACUUCAGGAAAGGAAAACCAGAACAGCCUCCCACACUACAGGCCUGACUUCACUGUGAUUCCAGCACAGCGCUACAGAACAAGCAAUACACUACAGACACCUCGCACUUGAGCAAUGAUGGUACUGAACCACUAGCAAUUAUGGAUGGACCAUAAACAAUCAGACAAAGCAUCCUGAAACCUGGACUAAGCUUAAUGCUAUGAGCCGUGACCGCAUGGAUAUCUGCUUACACAGCAACAGGACCACUCAGAAGCCAGUUUCUAAUAAAGGUUAAUCGUGCUCUUGGUUUUUUGUUUUUGUUUUUGUUUUUAUUUUUUUUUUUGUGUUCUUUUAAAAAGGGAAAGUUGCAAUAAUAGCACUGGAAGCCAGCACCUCCCCAAGCAAGCAGGAGUGGAGACUAGAAGACAAAAGAAGGCAUCUACUGCUAGGCUUCAGAUGUUGCUGGUUGGAAGGAGGUGCUGUCUUUAGUCAGGAUUAUGAAAUCGAGGUCACCCCUCAGGAUGGCUGCUGUGCCCAUGUAAGGGAGUCAUUCUGGGGAAAAAUAAUAUCCUAUCUCACAGGAAUACUUGAGGUAAAAAUAAAGGAAAGAGAAAACAUUUACAGUGUCUCAAGUACUUCCUGAAAUGGUAUCCGAGUAAAUAAUACUCUUUUGUC